rnacentral:rRNA from 1 species
GACGAACGCUGGCGGCGUGCUUAACACAUGCAAGUCGAACGGUGAACCUCUUCGGAGGGGAUCAGUGGCGAACGGGUGAGUGACACGUGGGCAACCGGCCCCCGGCUCUGGGAUAACUCCAAGAAAUUGGGGCUAAUACCGGAUGUUCACCGCUUCCCGCAUGGGUGGUGGUGAAAAGGGUUUCCGGCUGGGGAUGGGCCCGCGGCCUAUCAGCUUGUUGGUGGGGUAGUGGCCUACCAAGGCGACGACGGGUAGCCGGCCUGAGAGGGUCAGCGGACACCCUAGGACUGAGACACGGCCCAGACUCGUACGGGAGGCAGCGGUGGGGAAUAUUGCGCAAUGGGCGGAGGCCAGACGUAGCGACGCCGCGUGGGGGAUGACGGGAUUCGGGUUGUAAACCUCUUUCAGCAGGGACGAAGCGAAAGUGACGGUACCUGCAGAAGAAGCACCGGCUAACUACGUG